UACGUAGGGUGCAAGCGUUAAUCGGAAUUACUGGGCGUAAAGCGUGCGCAGGCGGCUUUGCAAGACAGAUGUGAAAUCCCCGGGCUCAACCUGGGAACUGCAUUUGUGACUGCAUGGCUGGAGUGCGGCAGAGGGGGAUGGAAUUCCGCGUGUAGCAGUGAAAUGCGUAGAUAUGUGGAGGAACACCGAUGGCGAAGGCAGCCCCCUGGGCUAACACUGACGCUCAUGCACGAAAGCGUGGGGAGCAAACAGG
rnacentral:rRNA from 1 species